AGAGUUUGAUCCUGGCUCAGAGUGAACGCUGGCGGCAGGCCUAACACAUGCAAGUCGAACGGCAGCACAGAGGAGCUUGCUCCUUGGGUGGCGAGUGGCGGACGGGUGAGGAAUACGUCGGAAUCUGCCUAUUUGUGGGGGAUAACGUAGGGAAACUUACGCUAAUACCGCAUACGACCUACGGGUGAAAGCGGAGGACCUUCGGGCUUCGCGCAGAUAGAUGAGCCGACGUCGGAUUAGCUAGUUGGCGGGGUAAAGGCCCACCAAGGCGACGAUCCGUAGCUGGUCUGAGAGGAUGAUCAGCCACACUGGAACUGAGACACGGUCCAGACUCCUACGGGAGGCAGCAGUGGGGAAUAUUGGACAAUGGGCGCAAGCCUGAUCCAGCCAUGCCGCGUGUGUGAAGAAGGCCUUCGGGUUGUAAAGCACUUUUGUCCGG
rnacentral:rRNA from 1 species